rnacentral:lncRNA from 1 species
AGAGAAUACAAUUACUGUCUCACCAAAAUAAUUGAAUGGCUAAGUAAGAUCAUUUAAAGAAUUGGGAAGAGUCAUGAAUGCAAAUAAGCAAUUUUGCGUAAUAUUCCCAUGCCCCUCCCAGCUGAAGUCACUGGUACUGGGAUUUGCAGACCUAACUUUAUUAGACCUGAUAGGACUACACCCAGGAGUAGGUGAGCUGGUGAGGUUUGUGGCCCCGGGGCUCUGGAUUCAGUCUGGCUGUGUCUCAGCCUGCUGCAGGUGGUCCUGGGAUUUUCUGGCACCCACAUCCUUAAGUGUCUGUCUUCAGUGGAUUUUGCUUUCUUUUCCUAACUAUACUUAAAAGGUCACUUGCCAUCUGCAUUCCUGCUGCAUCUCCAUGCUAUUUGGUAAGAGCUCCUUCAUCCCUGACAUUACCUUGAGCCAGACCUGGAGUAAGCCCUAAUUGCCCACUCUCUCUGGCUCCUCAGCACUAGGCAGCAUGAGUUUCCCACAGUUUCCCUCCAGCCACCUCCACCUCCCUG